UCAUUCACACAUUCAUCCGUGGCAGGCUCGCUCAUUGAUCGUUCGCCGUUUCAGAAUCGAGGUGGGGGGACAUGGCGACGCAGGAGCAUCGUGGGGAGGAGGUGGAGAAAGCUUUGGUGCUAUGGAACAUCAGCAACUGUCCGAUUCCAGAUGGUUAUGAUCCUUUCAUGGUGGUUCAUAGAAUUUAAACGGCGCUAGGCCUCGUCCGCCGCUAUGGUGAGGUCUCCAUGACUGCCAUUGGCAACAACCUAACACAGAUCCCUGGUGGUGAAGAUGUCUUGGGGAAGCUCUCUUCCGUUGGAAUCUCUCUCAAAAACACUCAUAGUUAGUCUUCUUCCGAGCUAAGUAAUGGAUUAGGGGUUUAUACUUUCUGUAGAUUAUCAAAUGGAUUUGAAUCUGUGGGCCCGUAGGAAUCGUCCUCCGGCUACUAUGAUGGUCAUAGACGGUCAUGAGCAACUGAGAUGUUUAGCUCCUGCACUUUACGACCUUGAAGAUGGUGGAUACACAAUUCUUAUUGCAUAUCCUCAGCCUCACCUAGCCACACCCUUUCCUCGUACCUUCACUAACCAGUGGUUUUGGGAUGCCUUACUCUCAUAUAAACUGGAGCCAACAACAACAACAACAAUCCUUGUUAACAAGUGCAAUGAUUAUCCCUGGUCUUGCUCAGUAUGCUUUGUUGCUGCCCCAAGCUUUGAAGAUUUCACCACCCAUCUCAAGUCUGUACAACAUGAAUUUCGUGAAUGGGACAGGCAUGCUAGUAAAUACAACCUUGAUCGUACUAACCGUAAUAACUUGCCGUUUGGUCGAUCACAGGAGUUGGACUUGCUGCUUAGUCAAGAUAUGCUUAGAUGUCAAGAGAUUCUUAGUCAAAAGGGCCGGCGAGGUGGUGGUGGCUUUAGGCCUCAAUUCAGAUCUAACAGUCAAUCCAACUCAAGUUGACUUUUCUUUUCCUUUUACAUUCCAUCUAAUGUAACAUAUAUAGCAUGGUUUUUUUUUUGGAUUUACUGACUUGAGAGUUUCGCUCUCUAAAGUAUUGAAGGAACACAUCUGCUCUUUCCUCAUGCUUAUCUUUCUGUUAAAGAAAAAGUAAUCCCGAACGAACAAGAUAUAUUGUUUGGUUGGUUCAACAUUCUAAAACUUUGUUUAUCUCCAAAGUUUUAUGUUAGGCAUCACAGCUCUAGGUAAGCUAUAAGGAAUAAAUAGCUUAUGAGCCCAAACGAACAAGAUAUAUUGUGCAUCUUUCGAACUGAGAUGGACCUACGUGUCAGUCAGGUGGCCGUACGUGUCGCGCGUUUACUUUUUCCCACGACGACUUAGCUUUUAUUUGACAGGUCCCAUAGUUUUCAAACUAUUCAAUUUCGCACCUCUACUUUUAUUUAAGCUAGUUUCCAAAAUAUUACCAAGGAUUUGCUUGCUCACUUGCAUUUACUUUUUGAGUUUUGAGAUUCAACUUUGUAUUUAAGUUAUCAAUUAUACCGUGUAUUGAUAUCAAAUGAUGUGAAAAGAAUCAGAAUGAUAUAAUAGGCUGUAAAAACAUCAUAAUGAUUCAUUCCAAAACCACGCCUCAAUGUUCUUUGUUGGGCCGUUAUUAUUACCAAUUAUGCCCCAUUAAAUGCAAACAUACCUUCAUCUUUUCAUUUGCGUAUAUAGUAUGCUUAAUUAGUCUUAAUAUAGUAUGCCGUGUAUGUGAAUAUGCGGUAUAUUUGUCUACACACAUACUGUAUUUGUCUAAAACGAUGACACAUGUGAGUCGUGAGUUUACAAUACAAACAAAAGAAAUCGAAAGUUGUUAGUAAUGAUUUCAAUCAUUUCUGUUGUUUUAAAAUAAAUCAAAUCAUUAAUCAUUUGUGUCAUAUUAUCUAGUUUUAUAUUAGUCCAUUCAGACUAAUGUCUAGUUACUCAUAUAUAUAAUGCAAUACAAUUUCUUCAAAAAUAUACAUGGUUUAUUGAUAUACUUCACUGAAUUACUUUUAAGUAUGAGAGUACAAUUUCUUCAUAAAUAUACAUGGUUCAGUGUUAUAUAUACUUCACUGAUUUACGUUUAAGUAUAAGAAAGAUGAUAAAAAGACAUUCGAUCAACUGGCCGGUGAGCUAACGUUGCUGUCAAUAUAUAAAGGUUUCUAUACGAAAAUCCAUUGGUUGUAACUAGCUAAUCACAUUUUGUUUAAAUGUAGUGUUUAGAGUAAAUGAUUCGAAUUAGUGCUGUUUUAUAUAAUAGAGAAGUACGCUCAACUGGACCAGCUUUGGGUGUGUUUAUAGAUCUGAUAGGAGCUCAAAAUGUUCUUUAACUUGAAAAAGAAAAGAAACAAGGAAACCCCACAAAAGCCUUCCCAUAUGCCAAAAAUGCAUCAUUGCCUAAACCCACAAGCAUUCACCAUCAACACUAAUUACACUCUUUUGCUUUCUUUCUUCUUAUUACCAUCUCUCUCCAUUCUCUUUCAAGUCUCAUUAUUGUCUUUUAAAUCUUAAUUAGAAGCUGUUUUUUUUUUGUCUAGUUUGUGCUCAAUUCUCGGUUGGAGACGGAUCAUUGAGUUGGACCACCUGGCGACGUUAACAAGAGAGAAGUGUUCGGCUUUGGUCCGGUCUUGUUACGUACCAUCGAGGACUACUUGUUCUUCUGACGACAUUAUUACUAAACAGAACACGAAAGUGGAAGAUGGUCUCGGCUUCCGAGGAGGAGGAGGAGGAAGACGGUGGCAGAAUAAUCAGCCGUCAAAGAGACACGGAGGAGGAAGAAGCUGCACCGCCGUAUCCAGCGAGCCUUGCAAUCAUCUCAAAAGCAACCUCAAGGUCAAGACGGAGGUUGAUAAAGGGUUGGAACAGAGGAAAGUAAGCUGGCCUGAUGCUCAUGGCAAAGAUAUUGCUCAUGUUCAGGAGUUUGAGCUUAGCGCCUCUGAAGACGGAGAGCAUGCAGGAAAGUCUAAAAGAAAAUAUUGUGGUGUCUGUAUAAUCCAAUGACUAUAUUAUUACCCUUUUUGAGUUUUUUUGCCUUUUGGUUGUUUUUUCUUACCACUGUGUCUGAAACGAGUUGAAGUAAGUAGUGAAACAAUGUUGAAUCUCCCAUCAACUUGAUCUCAUUCAGAUUA